AAAUUGAAGAGUUUGAUCAUGGCUCAGAUUGAACGCUGGCGGCAGGCCUAACACAUGCAAGUCGAACGGUAACAGGAAGAAGCUUGCUUCUUUGCUGACGAGUGGCGGACGGGUGAGUAAUGUCUGGGAAACUGCCUGAUGGAGGGGGAUAACUACUGGAAACGGUAGCUAAUACCGCAUAACGUCGCAAGACCAAAGAGGGGGACAUUCGGGCCUCUU
rnacentral:rRNA from 1 species